CACGAACGCUGGCGGCGUGCCUAUACAUGCAAGUCGAGCGGAAGUUGGAGAGCUUGCUCUUCAACUUUAGCGGCGGACGGGUGAGUAACACGUGGGCAACCUGCCCUGCAGAUCGGGAUAACUCCGGGAAACCGGUGCUAAUACCGAAUAGUUUUCGCCACCUCCUGGUGGCGUACGGAAAGACGGUUUCGGCUGUCACUGCAGGAUGGGCCCGCGGCGCAUUAGCUAGUUGGUGGGGUAACGGCCCACCAAGGCGACGAUGCGUAGCCGACCUGAGAGGGUGAUCGGCCACACUGGGACUGAGACACGGCCCAGACUCCUACGGGAGGCAGCAGUAGGGAAUCUUCCGCAAUGGACGAAAGUCUGACGGAGCAACGCCGCGUGAGUGACGAAGGUUUUCGGAUCGUAAGACUCUGUUGUGAGGGAAGAACAAGUACCGCUUAACUACUGGUACCUUGACGGUACCUCACCAGAAAGCCACGGCUAACUACGUGCCAGCCGCCGCGGUAACAC
rnacentral:rRNA from 1 species